rnacentral:rRNA from 1 species
CCACCUGAUCCCAUACCGAACUCAGAAGUGAAACCACUUAGCGCCGAUGGUAGUGUGGGGUCUCCCCAUGUGAGAGUAGGACAUUGCUAGGC